UACAGAGGGUGCAAGCGUUAAUCGGAAUUACUGGGCGUAAAGCGUGCGUAGACGGUUAUGUAAGUCAGGUGUGAAAGCCCAGGGCUCAACCUUGGAAUUGCAUUUGAGACUGCAUAGCUAGGGUGCGGAAGAGGGAAGCGGAAUUUCCGGUGUAGCGGUGAAAUGCGUAGAUAUCAGGAGGAACACCGGUGGCGAAGGCGGGUCUCUGGGCCGUAACUGACGCUGAGGAGCGAAAGCGUGGGGAGCGAACAGG
rnacentral:rRNA from 1 species